rnacentral:rRNA from 1 species
UACGGAGGUGGCAAGCGUUGCUCGGAAUCACUGGGCGUAAAGGGCGCGUAGGCGGGGAGGUAAGUCGGGUGUGAAAUCCCUCGGCCCAACCGAGGAACUGCGCCCGAGACUGCUUCUCUUGAGUCCCGGAGAGGAAGAUGGAAUUCCCGGUGUAGCGGUGAAAUGUGUAGAGAUCGGGAGGAACACCGGUAGCGAAGGCGGUCUUCUGGACGGUGACUGACGCUGAGGCGCGAAAGCGUGGGGAGCAAACGGG